GACGAACGCUGGCGGCGUGCUUAACACAUGCAAGUCGAGCGGUAAGGCCCUUUCGGGGUACACGAGCGGCGAACGGGUGAGUAACACGUGGGUGACCUGCCCUCAGCUCUGGGAUAAGCCCGGGAAAUUGGGUCUAAUACUGGAUAUGACUCCAUGACGCAUGUUGUGGGGUGGAAAGCCUUGUGCGGCUGAGGAUGGGCCCGCGGCCUAUCAGCUUGUUGGCGGGGAACGGCCCACCAAGGCUAUGACGGGUAGCUGGUCUGAGAGGACGACCAGUCACACUGGAACUGAGACACGGUCCAGACACCUACGGGUGGCAGCAGUCGAGUAAUUUUUCNCAAUGGGGGAAACCCUGAAGGAGCGACG
rnacentral:rRNA from 1 species